ensembl:lncRNA
AAUCUUGUUGCAGAUCACUGUAUACCUGAAGCCUUCCAAGGAUGCUCUUAAAUGACAGGAGUAUGGAGUAAUCAUCAUACAGAAAAGUUUUGGAAAGGUGGAACAACAGCUGGAAGGACCCUGUUUCCUAACCAGAGCAGAAGGAGGAACUUGAUGGCUACCAGAGCUGUGAGAGAAGGAAGUUCAGAGGUGGGGAAAACAGAGAUAACAACAUAGAUUGGAAAGAGACAAGCAUGUGAAAAAAAAACAGGUAAAGGGAGCCAACUGGAUGUAAAGCAGCAAUUACACCAAGACCUACAGUACUGUGGAACCUUCCACUCAUUCUUCUUGCCCUUCCUGUGAAAAGCAAGACUCUCACAGAGCCAAUAUAAGAACAGAACUUCAACCCAGGCAGCUACUUCCAGGCUUCUCAAAGAUAAUAUCUAGAUAUUCCCGGCACUGAAUAGGACAAUCUCUUCUGUUUGCUAAGGAGGAAAGACAAAACCUCCUAAUACAAGAAGAAAUAUCUUUUAAGACUGAUGAAUGCUGUUAUUCCUUCUCAAGUGUAGGACUCUGAACUUGCCCUUGUUGAACCUCACCAAAUUCUUCUCUGCCCAUUUCUCAGCCUGUCUCUUUGAAUGGCAGCACAGCUUUCUGGUGGCUGGAAGAGCUUUGCAUCUGUUUUUGGUAGUGAAGCUGGAGGUUGGGGAUGGAAGAGGAGCCUUGCUAUUGUGCACUACCAGGGACUAAUGUGCCUCCUCCUCAGCGUUUUCCACUACUGGAAUAUGAUUAUUAAACCACCCAUCUUUCUCAGCUUCUCUAAUAUUACCAAGCCUUUUAACUGAUUCUUGCAGCUCAGCCACUUGCCAUGAAAGAUAAUCCACUUUUUUGCAACUUAUUGCAAGUUCUUACCUUGUCACUAAGAGAAGGUUCAAGGCAUUUCAGUGCACCUGAACCAAAGUCUCCUUUCUUACCAGGUCUGUAUGGUUGAAAGCAUCAGAUAUUGCCGGGGAUUUCCCUGAAGGGAUGCUGGUUUCAGCCCUCAGGUGAGUGCCCACCACCAUAUUUGCAUAGGUGAAGAGUGCUUCCUCUGGUUGUGAACCAUCAAACAACGUACUGCCUGCACUAACUGCUGUGACAGAGUGCUGCUCCCAGAUGAGAAGAAACUUUGAACCUUUUUCUUAUGUUUUAUAUGCACAUCAUGAAACACAAAAAAGCCUCUGGGCUUUUUUAAAAGCACAUUCAAAAUGCAAUGACUCAUUAAUGACUCUACAAAACAAUUUCUGCACAGCUACUGAGAACUGCCAUUCACCCACUUGAAAAGCUUGCCCUGAAGAAGCUGGCUUUGACCUGCUGGUUUGCAGAGCAGGUGGUAUACCACCAAAAGGUGUUGAAGCUUCCUUCUACAAGAUGUAGGUCUGCUGGAAGUUGGGAGAAAAGAGAGAAGCUUGUGCAGGGCACUAUGCCCCAAGAUAACUUACCAGAAAAAUUUCCACAGCUCAUGUACCUUCCUCUGACCAACACUGACCAUCUCCAUUCUCAGGCACUGGACCCCUUAAGACAGAGGGUUAUCGACUUUUGGGCAUUGUAUGGAAGUUUUAUUUGUUUAUCUCACAAAUUUUUCUCUGUUUUGCACAGCCCUCAUCCACUGUUACAGCAGGUGAACAAUUCAGCAGAGACUUUUUUAGCUUAUUUCCCAGAUGAGGAUAUUGCAGCUGUAAACUGGAGACUGCUAUUUUCUUAUUUACAUGCCAUCAUUUUGCAGAAAUGAGUUGUUUACAUUUACAUUUAUGUGAUAUUGAAAAAUAUCAAAUACUAUAUUUCCUAAAGUUGUUCUAUUCUUUUCAGUUAGAAAUAAGUAGUAAUUGCAUUGCCAGCAAACUUCCAAGGGAUUGAUGCCAAUAAUUUAAGCAGCUGUAUUUUUACAUUUUGUUUUCUAAAAAAAUUGCUUUUAUGUAAAGGUCUGCUAUUAAAUAUUUGAUUGCUUC